rnacentral:rRNA from 1 species
CAGCCGCCACGGUAAUACGAAGGGGGCUAGCGUUGUUCGGAUUUACUGGGCGUAAAGCGCACGUAGGCGGACUUUUAAGUCAGGGGUGAAAUCCCGGGGCUCAACCCCGGAACUGCCUUUGAUACUGGAAGUCUUGAGUAUGGUAGAGGUGAGUGGAAUUCCGAGUGUAGAGGUGAAAUUCGUAGAUAUUCGGAGGAGCACCAGUGGCGAAGGCGGCUCACUGGACCAUUACUGACGCUGAGGUGCGAAAGCGUGGGGAGCAAACAGGAUUAGAUACCCCCGUAGUCCCUGUCUCUUAUAC